rnacentral:lncRNA from 1 species
CGGCCUCAUUUUUCCUUGUUCGGGAUGUGGUUCAUCUCAAAGCCCUUUACACUUUGGAGCCAGGCCUGUUCAAUUUUACAAAUAACACGUUUUGCUUGUAGUCAGGGUGCUGUGACAACAUGAAGAGUUCGAGCUACCUCCCAGGAUGAGUGCAGGUUUUCCUGGUGACAAAUCUCAGGCAUUCAAAGGUUCUGUUAGCAGUGCCAUACUUGUGGGUUUACAGAGAUGGUGUGUCUGGCUGAGAACAAAGGAGCCGUACCAGGAAAGUUGAAGCAUAUCUUCAUUUUCAAGUCCAGGCUAAAAUAAGGUCUGAGGAAAAGAAUGAGCUGCGUGUGAAGGAUAGGAACAGAAAUCAUGAAAGAUCUGUUUGUCCAGGCCAGUGUUUCACCAUAAGAGAUCACUUUAAAAUAAAUGAUGAAAUAAUUCUUUGCAAUUGCAAAUUUACCUUCCUUGCUUACCACAUUGUUAACUGUAGGAGCUGAUACCUGGUUCUUCCACUGUUAACUUGUACUCUGUGUUUGUUCUAGCAAUAAAUGCUCUUUAUGCUA